CUACGGGAGGCAGCAGUGGGGAAUAUUGCGCAAUGCCCGCAAGGGUGACGCAGCGACGCCGCGUGGGUGAAGAAGCACUAAGGUGUGUAAAGCCCUGUCAGAAGGGAAGAACGGCGAUGUUUCGAAAGGGGCAUCGUGUGACGGUACCUUCAGAGGAAGCUCCGGCUAACUCCGUGCCAGCAGCCGCGGUAAUACGGGGGGAGCAAGCGUUGUCCGGAAUCACUGGGUGUAAAGGGCGUGUAGGCGGGCUGGUAAGUCAGAUGUGAAAUCCCACGGCUCAACCGUGGAGGGUCAUCUGAUACUGCUGGUCUUGAGUGCGAGAGAGGGUGAUGGAAUUCCCGGUGUAGCGGUGAAAUGCGUAGAUAUCGGGAGGAACGCCAAAAGCGAAAGCAGCCGGCUGGGUCGAGACUGACACUGAGGGACGAAAGCGUGGGUAGCGAACAGGAUUAGAUACCCUGGUAGUCC
rnacentral:rRNA from 1 species